GAGCUUUUAAUUCAAGACUCGAUCGCUGUCGUCACAGCCUCGACUCCCUUCCCCACCAAUUCUUUCACUUACUUUGAACGAAGUGGCCGGGGAUCGUUGUGGAAUUGGUCAAGGCAAGCUUCGUAUGCUUCGGAUUCGUUUCUUUUGGCGGAUUUUUUGGGUGUUCUUAGGGUUGUAGGUCGACUCUUUGUUUCGAUCUCUUCGUAUGUAUUUCUUUCUCCGGUUUCUUGGUGACUCAGGACGCGUCUUUCUUGCGAAUAGAUUGAUUCUUGGGUAAUCAUUUAUGGCGGAUGUGUGGAGCCUUCGAUUGGGCGGGUUAGGGUUUUGGGAAGGAUUACAUAAUCAUUUAAGAAUUAUUUCUCGGCGAAUUUGGCCUCAUGAGAAUUGUUAGGGGAAUGCGAAAAUUGGUCUGCGGUGAGGAAGGCGUGCUGGAGAAUAAGGCAUCGAUCGGCUGGGGAAAUGCUGUCACUUCUUCCAUGGUCAUAAAUCGAGAUAAAGGAUGCUUCAGGCUCUGAACCUUUGAAUGGAAACAAGAAGGACUGUCAUCCUGAUUCGAUUGCAAGGGAGGAGUAGGCGGAGGUUAUCGUCUCUAGGAGAUUGAAGGUUCUUCUCUGUGUUCUUUAUUUAAUGGUUUUAUUCAUUUAAAUGAUAUUGUAUUCCAUUGUUGAUAUAUAUAAUGUUUAGAUUAUGAAGUCGCUUUGAUUUGUGAAAAUAAUUUAUGGUUUCAUGAUGUAAAAAAUUGUAGGAAUUUUUUUUAGUCGAUAAAAUUGUGAGAUUUUAUGUUGCUUAAUGAAUUUUAUUUUCAGGAGAUGCCUACUCAACAUGAUUGUUGAAAUAUUUAUUUAUUUCUUUAUUUUUUAAGAUUGAAAAAUUCAAAAGAUCAAGUUUGGAAUUGACUGGAGAUACCUGCUGUAUGCUUGUGAAUUUCCACUGUUUGUAAUUUUAUAGGGUUGCUAUUCUAGAAGGUCCUCAAUAAGUCUGUUGCAUUUUAUAUAAGCUUACUUGAGUCUUUCUUAUAAGCUGAUUUGGAAUUGUAGCGAUAGUUGCAGGUGCAUUUUUCAAUAAGCUUCUAGUUGCUCUGGGAUUGUAGCAGAUGUUGCAGGGUGUUGUUCAAUAAUCUUCUAGGUCUUCUCAGAGAGUUAAUACUUUACUUUUUUAAAAAUUUAGGGAUAAUGAAACGUUUAUCCUUUGUAAGUAAUAGAAGCCACCAUUUGAUAUUCUGUUUCAUUAUUAUUGAUUACUUGUGCUUUCUCUAUUUCAUGUAUCGCUUUCUUUACAUGCUUAUUUACUGUCUGUUACACAUUUCCCCCUUUAUUUUAGUGAAUGAAGCUGUUCUCCAGUUCACAAGUCUAAGUUUCUAUGUAGUUCGAAAAGUGAGCCUUCAGUGGAUGGGUAUGGCAUUUCAUCUAAAGGAGAUCUUUUCAUUAUUUUGUUACUGCUUUUUUCCAUAUAACUUUCUGGGAUAAUUUGAUGCCCUUUGAAUGACAUGAUUGCUGAUGCUGAUGGUUCCUCUAAAUAAUAGAUGAAACACUGUUUCCUGUGCAUCAAUAUAUUUCUUUGAUGUCAUUUCACAACUCAUUAGAUACAUCACUUUUUUAGGUGGUUCCUAUUGUUGUCUGUUUUCUAGGAUUCCUUUCCGUGGAUAUUCCUGACUUUUAUCUUUGCUUCUCUUCUAUUGAUGUCUUUUCUUGAUAUGAAUUUCUUCUUUUCAUCCUCCAAUGUCGAUUGCCUGCUUUUCCAACUUUUAGGUGCUCAUCCAGGUUCUUAGAUCCAUUAAACAGUUUGAUGAUCCUUGGAAGGAAGGUACUGGAUUAUCAACUAAUUCCAAGUUGGAAUUCUGUGAAGGACUUUUGCCAUGCUGUAGUGAUAUAUAGAACAGGCAAACAUUUUCACCUUUUGAGUGUUGUAUGUUGAGUAUUUGCAAUCUGUUAACCUACCAAAACUACAGUUUUCAUGUCUUAUGACAAUAGAGAGCUGGAUACUUGUUUUAACAUUUAUUAUAGUGUCAUGUAUCUGUUUGGAAAUUUGGUAAAGUGGUUCUUCUUUCAGUAUUAUGACUUGAGGCCCCUAAAUCAUGAUUUAAAUUGUUGGUCAGAGGACCGAUGUUUACCUAUUGAUAUUAAUCACUGGUACAGAAGCAUAGAACUCAGUAUAUCUGAAUCAUUUAUAUUUAUUAUAUUGUUUUUUUCCGGUGACAUGCAUGGCACAGGUCGCUCUUGGUAUCUUGUUACUGUACCUCUCUGAUAUUUUUUUUGAAACCAGUAUUGAACUGCUAUCGAAAACCAUACCCUAAAUAAUUGCAUGAUGACAGACACUUCAUGGGUAGAAUAUUUAGCUAAGGAGAAACCGAAGCAGUAUCCUUUGUUUACAGAGUCUUACGCAUGCAGGGCAGAACCACAAUCUUCUGUGGCAAGUGAUGAGUCCCUUCUGUAUCUUAUUUCGUAGAACUCUGAAGUUGACUGCAUACAUGGAGAAAGGCCAAUGAUUUCUUAACAGCGAUGCCAUCAUCAUGGUCGUGAUACUGAGAUGGUGCUCAACAGCGGUGCGCAGACGGUUUUGUUUAUGAGUUUUGGCUACAUGCAGGUCAUGGAAGCAUAUAGCAUUUUUUGGUGAUGAUGUGGAUUCUACGAUCUGCUACCUGUUGGAGAUGGAAGGCAGCUAAGCUGUGCAUCUCCUGGUGGCAGAAACCGACACAAAGGGAGAGCAGUAGCAGAGUGAGUAUUGGAGGGAUUAGGAGGAAUUGGAAUUGCUGUGAGUGCAGGCAUUCCCUUAAGUCUAUCGACUGUUGGCAGAUCAGUGAAGAGAGCGAAACGAAGCUUUGCUUGAAUAUAUUAAUAUGUUCCCUCUCCUAUUUAUACAUAUUAGGAGGAAGGAUUUUCCUUAACAGAAUAAACAGAAUAGAGAGAUUUCCUGGGAAAAUCUUAUCUUC